UACGUAGGGUGCGAGCGUUGUCCGGAAUUAUUGGGCGUAAAGAGCUCGUAGGCGGUUUGUCGCGUCGACUGUGAAAACCCGAGGCUUAACCUCGGGCCUGCAGUCGAUACGGGGCAGACUAGAGUUCGGUAGGGGAGACUGGAAUUCCUGGUGUAGCGGUGAAAUGCGCAGAUAUCAGGAGGAACACCGGUGGCGAAGGCGGGUCUCUGGGCCGAUACUGACGCUGAGGAGCGAAAGCGUGGGGAGCGAACAGG
rnacentral:rRNA from 1 species